UGUACGAACUAUAAGUAAACAAAACUAUAAUUGUUGUAUGAAAUGUUGUCGCGAAAAAAAUGUUAAAUUUCUUUAAAUAAAUAAAAUAUACAGUGUGACAGUCAAAUAAGAAAUGUUGCACGAACUUCUUUUGGCUUUGUGGGGAUGUUCCACCAGUGUCACGGAAAUCAUUGAAACAGACCCAUUAAAGCUCAUUAAUUACAUUCAUCCUGGAGAAAGAGUUUUAAUUUUGAAGAUUUUAGAGAUUGUCAAUAAAUGUAAUGCCAUUAGAAAAUUUAUCAAGCAAAACAGUUCUGUGGAUGAAUCAAAGUCUACUUCUAAAGGACUUUACUUAGCAGCUGUUUGUAAUGGGAUGGACAAAGCAUUGGAUCCUUUUAGGGAAGAAGUCAUUGAUAUGGAGAGAAUUGUUUUAAACGAUGGAUACACUCCAGCAUCUAUGAUUCUCAGUAGAAUCCAAAAGUACUUAUCUUUGUUUGCAGUUUUGAAUGAUAUAAUCCGGGAAAUUGAGGAUAAAAAUUUACAUGGCUGUAAAAUACUGCAAUGUUUACAUCACUAUGUUCAUACUGGUGUUCCAGAAGUUAAAGAGGCAUUAAAAAUAAUGAUUCAUUGUGUACACGUUGUUUUUUACAAACAUUUAACGAGUUGGCUCCUGUAUGGACACAUUGAGGAUGUGUACAAAGAGUUUUUUGUACAAAAUUCUGAAAAUACAAAUGAAAUGAUCAUAAGUGAUGAAAAAGACAAGGAGACAGAUAAAGAUAAGGACAAAGAUCUGAAUUUGGGAGUAAAUGAGAAAAAAUUAACCAAAGAAAUGUGGGAUUACGAUAUCAACUUAGAUGUACUGCCCUCCUACAUUAGGCCAACUCUGGCAAAUAAAAUUUUAACAAUUGGUCAAACAAUUAUAAUGUUUGGCAACGAUCCGCGGCAAAAGAAGGAUCUCAAAUUAAUAUCCAAGAACGUCGAAAAUUUGAUUUGGGGUGAAAAGGAGUUUGAAUACUUUGAAAAGCUGAAAAUGCUACAGGCUAGACCAACGUUCGUGCUUGCGGAGUUUGAGAGAACAGUUGACGAGCUCAAGUGCUGCGUGACUCAGCAUCUUUGGCACGUUGUCGUCGAGGAGGCUCAGCUUAUUAGCCGACUUAAACUCAUCAAGGACUUUUAUUUGAUGGGACGAGGUGACAUGUUCCUCGAGUUUAUAAGGCUUGCGACUCAUAUACUCGAUAAAACACCGACAAACCACACGUCGCGUGAUAUUAAUUUGGCCUUUCAAAUGGCAUUAAGAAAAACACAGUCGACAGACGAGACCGCAUUGGAGAGCUUUAGUUUUGCUGUGCCCGCACCUUCUGCCAAUAAGGAUGAUGGCUGUAGUGAAUUAAAGGAACCAAGUACCACUGGAAGUACAGAGAUCUCUGAAAAAGAAAGGGAAGAUCCAAUAGAUAAAAAGGGAUGGGGCUUGAUCCUUUUAAAGUACAAAGUAACGUGGCCGUUGCAUUUAUUAUUUAAUCCGUCAACUCUUUCAAAAUACAAUACCUUGUUUAGAUUUUUAUUACGUGUCAAAAAGACGCAAAUUAAUUUGUGGAAUCUAUGGCGAGACCAUAUGAAUUUAAAGAACAUGGAUAUCGAUGUUAUACAAUUGCGUAACAAUCUCAUCUUUAUUGUUGACAACUUACAAUAUUACCUGCAAGUAGAUGUUAUAGAGAGUCAAUAUGCAAUAAUGGAAAAUUGUAUGAAAAAUACGAGGAAUUUCGAAGACGUGCAGAAAGCGCACAAUCAGUUUUUAUCCAACAUCAUGUCUCGAACAUUUUUGACGAGUGGGGAACGAGCGGAAAAGAAAAACCCUGUAUGUUCUUUCACGCAUAACCCGCAAAAGAUCUUAGUAAUAUUUUUUCACAAGUAUAUUUUAUUAAUAUUAAUUAUAGGUCAACAAAUUGAUAAAAUUACUAUUGCGCCUCUGCGACGAUUUCAUUCGCAACGCCUCCAUCUGGGAAAUAGAAAAACUCCUGGAGACCGAAAAGACCGAAUUAAAAUCGUUAAACGACGUACUAAAUGGCCUCAUGAGUUGGCUGACGAAGACGUUGAACAGAGUACGCGCUCAGCCCAGUGGAGAGCAUUUGGCACAAUUAUUGCUAAGGCUCGAUUUCAACAGAUGGUUUAGCAGUAAAAAGCUUUAAAUGCCCAAGCAGACAUGACCCAUACUAUCACGAGACAUAACGUACCUUAAAAGGAAUGUGUUUAGUCGCUAUCGUCAUUGUAAUCGUCUUCGUUGUAGC